CAGUUUAGAGCUUGUUUCUGAUUUCUUUUCCCUUGAAAAGUGAUUAGAUAUUAAUUUAGUGAUGUGA
rnacentral:tRNA from 1 species